ACAGGCCAAAUUCAGAUACCAAAAUUCGGUGUUAAAAAUUUCAGAUGAACCAUCCGGGACACCAAGGAUAAGCAAUCGAAUCUGGAUGAAAUCGAACCAACAACAUCCAGUCAAGUUACACUCCAUUGGUCACGUGACGCCGAUGCUUGAAAUUACAGGAAUCACAACUAACCCAAACGAUGGGGCUUCGACAACUUGAUGUCUCAAAUCAAGAUAUGGGAGAACAGAGGCAGGGAGGUCACAGCAGUUCAGCCAGAAAGACCAUCACUUCAAAUGGAAAUGUCCAGAUUAAGACUUAAAGCACAAGUUAGUUAUUUUAAAUGCAAGCAGUAUGUAUACAUAUUUUGGCGUACUGUUGAUUUGUACAGGCAAAAUUCCACCUGUUACUUACAGUCCUUUCCAGGUAUUUUUACCAAGGGCCGAGGAAAGAGGCGCUUGUUCCUGCCAAGAGACUUAAACCACUUGAAGUGGCUUUCUAAUUGUUGCCAAAGCAGUGUGAAAAAACUCCAAACGAGCAGGAGCGAAUAGUCCAUAUGCAGGCAGGGUUGGGCCGUAGGACUGCUUAUCUAGAUGAGAGCACAACACAUGAAGAGGCGGAUGGGGUAGCCGAAAACUCUCUCUUGUGGCUCCUGAUGAUACUGGCUGUACAGGCAGGAUCUUGAAGGCUGCAAGUCGUGGGGGUAAAAAUCUAUUCAUAGCCCCAGUUCAAGAAGAACUCAGCACAAAUCCCCUACAACAUAUACAGGUGCAUCUCAAUAAAUUAGAAUGUCGUGGAAAAGUUCAUUUAUUUCAGUA